UCCGGUUGAUCCUGCCGGAGGCCACUGCUAUCGGAGUCGAUUACGCCAUGCGAGUCGAGAGGUGCAAGACCUCGUGCAUACUGCUCAGAUAACACGUGGACAAUCUAACCUACGGAGGGGGAUAACCCCGGGAAACUGGGGAUAAUACCCCAUAGACUAUGGAUGCUGGAAUGCACUGUAGUUGAAAGGUCCGCCGCCGUAGGAUGGGUCUGCGGCCGAUUAGGUUGUUGUUGGGGUAACGGCCCAACAAGCCUGUAAUCGGUACGGGUUGUGGGAGCAAGAGCCCGGAGAUGGAUUCUGAGACACGAAUCCAGGCCCUACGGGGCGCAGCAUGCGCGAAAACUUUACAAUGCGGGAAACCGUGAUAGGGGAACUCCGAGUGCCCGUUAAAUCGGGCUGUCCAUUGGUUUAAAUAACCAGUGAAGAAAGGGCCGGGCAAGACCGGUGCCAGCCGCCGCGGUAAUACCGGCGGCUCGAGUGGUGGCCACUAUUACUGGGCUUAAAGCGUUCGUAGCUGGUUAGUUAAGUCUCUGGGGAAAUCUUCCGGCUUAACCGGAAGGCGUCUCAGGGAUACUGGCAGACUAGGGACCGGGAGAGGUGAGGGGUACUCCAGCGUGUAGGAGUGAACUCCUGUAAUCCUUGGGGGAACAACUGUGGAGAAAGCGCCUCC
rnacentral:rRNA from 1 species